rnacentral:rRNA from 1 species
UACGGAGGGUGCAAGCGUUAAUCGGAAUCACUGGGCGUAAAGCGCGCGUAGGUGGCUAUUUAAGUCAGAUGUGAAAGCCCUGGGCUCAACCUGGGAAUGGCAUUUGAUACUGGAUAGCUAGAGUAUGGUAGAGGUGAGUGGAAUUUCAGGUGUAGCGGUGAAAUGCGUAGAGAUCUGAAGGAACAUCAGUGGCGAAGGCGGCUCACUGGCACGAUACUGACGCUGAGGUACGAAAGUGUGGGGAGCAAACAGG